rnacentral:lncRNA from 1 species
GUAUAUUGUCGCCGUCAAUGCUCAAUCGAGCCUUGGUGUGCGUUUUAGUGUGGCCGCUCCUUAGUAAGCCAAUGUCUUUAUGGGCGCACGUUUUAGCGAGCAAGUAUAGUAGGGAUAAUAAUCUCAAUUUUUGGUCAGCUCAGAGCAAAUUUGUAGCUUAACCUAUUUGGCAUAUUCUAUGCUGCAAAUUCAUAAUUUCAUGAUGACUGCUGUGGUCUGAAAUCCUUAGCAGCUACAGUGGAAAUUCUCCGAUUCCAACUGCUUCACCC